rnacentral:tRNA from 1 species
AGAAAUAUAGUUAAAUUUAUAAUAUUUAUUUUGCUAAUAAAAGUUAUUAUAUAAUUAUUUUUA